GGAUGGACUCGCGUCCAAUUAGCUAGUUGGUGAGGUAACGGCCCACCAAGGCGACGAUUGGUAGCCGGACUGAGAGGUUGAUCGGCCACAUUGGGACUGAGACACGGCCCAGACUCCUACGGGAGGCAGCAGUGGGGGAUAUUGCACAAUGGGGGAAACCCUGAUGCAGCGACGCCGCGUGAAGGAAGAAGGCCUUCGGGUUGUAAACUUCUGUCGUACGGGACGAUAAUGACGGUACCUGACUAAGAAGCCCCGGCUAACUAC
rnacentral:rRNA from 1 species